rnacentral:rRNA from 1 species
CACACUAUCAUUAACUGAAUCCAUAGGUUAAUGAGGCGAACCGGGGGAACUGAAACAUCUAAGUACCCCGAGGAAAAGAAAUCAACCGAGAUUCCCCCAGUAGCGGCGAGCGAACGGGGAGGAGCCCAGAGCCUGAAUCAGUGUGUGUGUUAGUGGAAGCGUCUGGAAAGGCGCGCGAUACAGGGUGACAGCCCCGUACACAAAAAUACACAUAUUGUGAGCUCGAUGAGUAGGGCGGGACACGUGGUA